UUGAGUUUUGAGAUUCCACAACACAACAACCUGCGAACCGCGAAGUCAUCAAGGUGUGGCUGGGUUGCACUUCAACUUCUUUCACCUGUCCAUGGAAACAUCUUCAUCUUCAUCUUCAUCUUCAUCCAUGUCCAAUAAGACCAUAACCUUCGAAGAAUGGAACGGUUCAUCCCCCACCAAGCUCUCAAAGACUUUCACCAUCAAGGCUUCUUCUUCCUCUGUCACCAUUUCAAGAUCUGGUGCCCGAUUUACCCAUGUUUGGAGACGCUUACUUCAGGCAUUUGUCCCUGAGGGUUUUCCAAGCAGUGUGACUGCAGAUUAUGUUCCUUUUCAAAUAUGGGAUUCAUUGCAGGGCCUUUCAACGUAUAUAAGGACCAUGCUUUCUACCCAGGCUCUCUUGAGUGCUAUUGGGGUUGGUGAGAAAUCAGCUACUGUCAUUGGUGCCACUUUUCAGUGGUUUUUGAGGGAUCUAACUGGUAUGCUUGGAGGAAUCCUAUUCACAUUUUACCAGGGAUCAAAUCUUGACAGCAAUGCAAAAAGGUGGCGUUUGGUUGCAGAUCUUAUGAAUGACCUUGGAAUGCUAAUGGACCUCAUUUCUCCAUUGUUUCCAUCAGCUUUUGUGUUUGUUGUUUGCUUAGGAAGCAUAUCGAGAUCUUUCACUGGUGUUGCAAGUGGAGCCACUAGAGCAGCUUUGACUCAGCAUUUUGCUCUGCAGGAUAAUGCUGCAGACAUAUCUGCAAAGGAAGGAAGUCAAGAAACUGUGGCCACAAUGAUUGGCAUGGCAUUGGGAAUGCUUGUUGCUCGCAUCACCAUUGGACACCCACUAGCCAUUUGGUUUUCUUUUCUGUCUUUGACCGUGUUUCAUAUGUAUGCAAACUACCGAGCUGUUCGAUGCCUGGCACUGAACUCGUUAAACCCUGAAAGGAGCUCUAUUCUUUUGCAGCAUUUCAUGGGGACUGGCCAAGUUCUCUCCCCUGAACAGGUCUCUUCACAGGAGAGUGUUUUACCCUUACAGAUCAUUUCAUGGAGCUCAAAGAAUGCUAAUUCUCUGCAUAAGAAAGUACGUUUAGGCAUGAGGGUUUCUUCAUUCGAUAACAUGGAAAUCAAGGAGCAUUUGCUUUCUGCAGCACCUUACUACACAAAAGCUAAGUAUUUACUUGUGGAAAGGAAGGGAAUCGUUGAUGUUAUUGUGCAUAAGGAUUCAAAUGCAGCUGAUGUCCUAAAGUCAUUCUUUCAUGCUCUCGUCUUGGGAAAGAAUGUUCAUAAAAGCAAAUCUUUGCAUUCAGAUGGCCAAAAGUGGAUAGAUAAUCAAUAUGAAGUAUUUAUUCAGAAGCUCAAGUCAUCAGGCUGGAAAACUGAACGGCUUCUAUCACCUAUAAUAUGGAGGGCAUACUGGAUCUAUGAACCCUUGGAAGAAAAAAUUGAUUAGGGUCAUUAACGUUGUUCUAGACAAGGUGAUUAGCUGCAGCCCUGGAUGAAUUGAGAUUAUUUGAUGAGGAGAUUGAAUUUAGGGGCCUUUGUUUUGUUGCAAACUGGAAUGAUUAUGUUUCAAGAGUUGGUGUAUGAGUUUUUUCAAAUAUAUGAUUUCACCAAAGUUCUAUCAAGAUAAGGAAAUUUGACUGGGUUACUGCUGCACUUGAACCUCAUUUCUCUGUUGUAGCAGUUUAGAAAGAAAACAUGGUGGCUUUUAUUUAUAUACCUCAGAGAAUCAGUUGUGUUCUGCAUGAAGCAACUUCUAGGGCAUUUGGUAUAUAUAUGAUUAUUCAACGGUAAUUCAAUCUAGGAGGAUACUAAAUGCCAUACAAAUCAUGGUUGCCUAUGUCAAAAGUUAUUAUUAUUUUUACUUUUCAAAAUUUAAAUAAUUCUUUUAGAAACUUAGUAUAUAAUAAGUUCAGAUUCAGCUGAUCUCUGUCUAAUCUUUGUUUUAUUUUUCCCUUAUGUACUAUAGUUAGAAUUGUAAUUAGACUGGUUGAUUUAUAUCAUCCUUUGUAACUUCAAUUUUUAAUGAAAUAAGGAUAUUCACUUGCUCUUCUGAACUAUAGCUCAUGUUUCUUAUCUUGAUAUUUUUAGUUAUGAGUGUGUACAAUAGAAGAGGGAAUAUUGGCAAUCAAAGAUUGUAUGGCAUUUGGUAUUUU